CUAGCGGCAGGCUUAACACAUGCAAGUCGAGGGGUAACAUAGAAAAGCUUGCUUUUCUGAUGACGACCGGCGCACGGGUGCGUAACGCGUAUACAAUCUGCCUUAUACUGGGGUAUAGCCUUUAGAAAUGAAGAUUAACCCCCCAUAGUCUCUUUAAAUGGCAUCAUUUUUAGAGUAAAGGUUACGGUAUAAGAUGAGUAUGCGUUCUAUUAGUUUGUUGGUGAGGUAACGGCUCACCAAGACUGCGAUAGAUAGGGGCCCUGAGAGGGGGAUCCCCCACACUGGUACUGAGACACGGACCAGACUCCUACGGGAGGCAGCAGUGAGGAAUAUUGGACAAUGGAGGCAACUCUGAUCCAGCCAUGCCGCGUGCAGGAAGACUGCCCUAUGGGUUGUAAACUGCUUUUAUACAGGAAGAAACCUUGGUACGUGUACCAAGCUGACGGUACUGUAAGAAUAAGGAUCGGCUAACUCCGUGCCAGCAGCCGCGGUAAUACGGAGGAUCCAAGCGUUAUCCGGAAUCAUUGGGUUUAAAGGGUCCGUAGGUGGAUAAUUAAGUCAGGGGUGAAAUCUUGCAGCUCAACUGUAAAAUUGCCUUUGAUACUGGUUAUCUUGAGUCAUUAUGAAGUAGUUAGAAUAUGUAGUGUAGCGGUGAAAUGCAUAGAUAUUACAUAGAAUACCAAUUGCGAAGGCAGAUUACUAAUAAUGUACUGACACUGAUGGACGAAAGCGUGGGUAGCGAACAGGAUUAGAUACCCUGGUAGUCCACGCCGUAAACGAUGGUUACUAGCUGUGUGGACUUCGGUCUGCGUGGCUAAGCGAAAGUGAUAAGUAACCCACCUGGGGAG
rnacentral:rRNA from 1 species